UUGGGAACCCUUGCAAACAUGCCAUUGCAGCUAUCAAAUACAAUGGACUUGACAUACAUGACUAUGUUGAUGUGUACUGGACGGUUGACAAAUACAGGGAAACAUAUUCAGAGGUUAUUAAUCCAUUGCAUUUGGCUAACACAAGCCUAAGCAAAGGGAAGAAGAGAAAAUAUGUUGAUAGUGAAGAGAGACGCCUUGUCUAAUCCAUUGGGUAAAAACAAAACAGGAUAUGAUGAUUAUUAUGAUUUUAUUAUGAUGCCGAUUAAAUUUAUAUUUUGCAGCCGAUGGACAGAGAGAAUGUAACACAACACAACACAACAUGGUGGUUACCACAGUGCUUGGAUGUUGUGUCCAUUGCCUAUAACAUUGUUGUACUCGAUAAGUUUGCCGCGUGUCCUAGCCUCCAUUUUGUGUGCACUAUAGCAUUAUGUGUAUGAAGUAAUCUUGAUGCGGGUAUUUUAUAAUGAUAAUGCUUAUUUAUAGUGUUUGGUAGUGAUUUUAUUACUAUUAUUGGGGACCUUUGUGCUUACGCUAUUUGGUGUUUGGAUUACACAAAUUGCAAUGUCAUAAAUUAAUAAUUAAAAUAUUUAUGCUAAGGCAUUUGUGUUGGAGAGAUGGUGUCAGAAAAUUAUUGUGUGUCAGGUGGUGCAGCAGAGUUUGAGGUUCGUGAUGUGAACAAUGCAAAUGUAGAUCCAAAGAAGGUGGAUCUUGAACGGCGAACAUGCUCUUGCCUUGAAUGGCAAAUGUAUGGGUACCCUUGCAAACAUGCCAUUGCAGCUAUCCAAUAUGGUGGAUGUAAUGUGUAUGACUACUUUGAUGUGUACUUCACGGUUGACAAAUACAGGGAGACAUAUUCAGAUGUUAUUAAUCCAUUGCAUUUGGCUAACACAAGCCUAAGCAAAGGGAAGAAGAGAAAAUAUGUUGAUAGUGAAGAGAGACGCCUUGUCUAAUCCAUUGGGUAAAAACAAAACAGGAUAUGAUGAUUAUUAUGAUUUCAUUAUGAUGCCGAUCAAAUUUAUAUUUUGCAGCCGAUGGACAGAGAGAAUGUAACACAACACAACACAACAUGGUGGUUACCACAGUGCUUGGAUGUUGUGUCCAUUGCCUAUAACAUUGUUGUACUCGAUAAGUUUGCAGCGUGUCCUAGCCUCCAUUUUGUGUGCACUAUAGCAUUAUGUGUAUGAAGUAAUCUUGAUGCGGGUAUUUUAUAAUGAUAAUGCUUAUUUAUAGUGUUUGGUAGUGA